rnacentral:misc_RNA from 1 species
GAUGAAGAACGCAGCGAAAUGCGAUAAGUAAUGUGAAUUGCAGAAUUCAGUGAAUCAUCGAAUCUUUGAACGCACCUUGCGCUCUCUGGUAUUCCGAAGAGCAUGCCUGUUUGAGUGUCAUGAAAAUAUCAACCUUGACUUGGGUUUUGUGCUCUAGUCUCGGCUUGGAAUUGGGUGCUUGCCGCUUUUACGAGCGGCUCACCUUAAAUGUAUUAGCUGGCUCUGUCUUUGAGACUUGGUUUGACUUGGCGUAAUAAGUAUUUCGCUAAGGACAUUCUUCGGAGUGGCCUCGUUUCUAGGACGCUUGUCCGCUUUCCAAUACAAGUUCCACCUCGUGGACAUGACUUUUUAUUAUCUGGCCUCAAAUCAGGUAGGACUACCCGCUGAACUUAAGCAUAUCAAUAAGCGGAGGA